GACGAACGCUGGCGGCGUGCUUAACACAUGCAAGUCGAACGGUGAAGCGCCUUCCUUUUUGGUGGGUGUGGAUGAGUGGCGAACGGGUGAGUAACACGUGAGUAACCUGCCCCCUUCUUCUGGAUAACCGCAUGAAAGUGUGGCUAAUACGGGAUAUUCUGGGUCUGUCGCAUGAUGGGUCUGGGAAAGAUAUUGUUUCGGUGGGGGAUGGGCUCGCGGCCUAUCAGCUUGUUGGUGGGGUGAUGGCCUACCAAGGCGGUGACGGGUAGCCGGCCUGAGAGGGUGGACGGUCACACUGGGACUGAGACACGGCCCAGACUCCUACGGGAGGCAGCAGUGGGGAGUAUUGCACAAUGGGCGCAAGCCUGAUGCAGCGACGCCGCGUGAGGGAUGGAGGCCUUCGGGUUGUGAACCUCUUUCGCCAGUGAAGCAGGCCUGCCUCGUUUGUGGGUGGGUUGACGGUAGCUGGAUAAGAAGCGCCGGCUAACUACGUG
rnacentral:rRNA from 1 species